rnacentral:rRNA from 1 species
GACGAACGCUGGCGGCGUGCUUAACACAUGCAAGUCGAACGAUGAACCCGGAGCUUGCUCUGGGGGAUUAGUGGCGAACGGGUGAGUAACACGUGAGUAACCUGCCCUGGACUCUGGGAUAAGCGUUGGAAACGACGUCUAAUACCGGAUAGGACCUUGGAUCGCAUGAUCUGGGGUGGAAAGUUUUUUCGGUCUGGGAUGGACUCGCGGCCUAUCAGCUUGUUGGUGAGGUAAUGGCUCACCAAGGCGUCGACGGGUAGCCGGCCUGAGAGGGUGACCGGCCACACUGGGACUGAGACACGGCCCAGACUCCUACGGGAGGCAGCAGUGGGGAAUAUUGCACAAUGGACGAAAGCCUGAUGCAGCAACGCCGCGUGCGGGAUGACGGCCUUCGGGUUGUAAACCGCUUUUAGUAGGGAAGAAGGGCUUCGGCUUGACGGUACCUGCAGAAAAAGGACCGGCUAACUACGUG